rnacentral:rRNA from 1 species
ACGUGGGAACAUACCCUUUGGUUCGGAACAACGUUUGGAAACGACGCUAAUACCGGAUACGCCCUUUUCGGGUAAAGGGACGUCGCUGCCGAAGGAUUGGCCCGCCGUUCGAUUAGCUAGAUGGUGGGGUAACGGGCCCACCCAUGGCGACGAUCGAUAGCUGGUCUGAGAGGAUGGCCAGCCACAUUGGGACUGAGACACGGCCCAAACUCCUACGGGAGGCAGCAGUGGGGAAUAUUGCACAAUGGAGGAAACUCUGAUGCAGCCAUGCCGCGUGUAUGAAGAAGGCCUUCGGUUGUA